rnacentral:rRNA from 1 species
UACGUAGGGGGCAAGCGUUGUCCGGAAUCAUUGGGCGUAAAGAGCGUGUAGGCGGCUCGAUAAGUCCGCUCUGAAAGCCCGGGGCUCAACCCCGGGAGGCGGGCGGAUACUGUCGAGCUAGAGUCCGGAAGAGGCGAGUGGAAUUCCUGGUGUAGCGGUGAAAUGCGCAGAUAUCAGGAGGAACACCGGUGGCGAAGGCGGGUCUCUGGGCCGUAACUGACGCUGAGGAGCGAAAGCGUGGGGAGCGAACAGG